rnacentral:rRNA from 1 species
CCUACGGGUGGCUGCAGUGGGGAAUAUUGGGCAAUGGGCGCAAGCCUGACCCAGCAACGCCGCGUGAAGGAAGAAGGCUUUCGGGUUGUAAACCUCCUUUAAGAGGGAAGAGCCGAAGACGGUACGUCUUGAAUAAGCCACGGCUAACUACGUGCCAGCAGCCGGCGUAAUACGUAGGUGGCAAGCGUUGUCCGGAUUUACUGGGGGUAAAGGGAGUGCAGGGGGGAAGACAAGUCAGAUGUGAAAUCCCACGGCUUAACCGCGGAACCGCAUUUGAAACUGGUUUUCUUGAGUACCGGAGAGGUCAUCAGAAUGCCUUGUGUAGCGGUGAAAUGCGUAGAUAUAAGGAAGAACACCAGUUGCGAAGGCGGAUGACUGGACGGCAACUGACGGUGAGGCGCGAAAGCGUGGGUAGCGAACAGGAUUAGAUACCCUUGUAGUC